GGAUGUCAGCUGAGCCACGGCACCUGCUGACCUGCCCCGGGGCGGCGGAAAUAGGGGAAAGGGCACUAGAGAGAGAAAGCCAAGGACGUGACCAGGUGACAAAUGGACAAGAAGAGGAAGAAAGACAGAUUCUGCCCAUGUCCACAGGCCCUGGGAUUAGGGCUGCGUGGGGUAGAUGCUCCAGGAGCAGCAAGCCAUGGGGGCUAAGAGAGGGCAGGGAAGAGAAAGUGGAAGGAGCCCUUCUCCUCUCCUGCCAUCCGUCCUCCCUGCUGGAACUUUGACUCCAACACAGAAUGGCCUUUGAAAAAGGAAACACCAGGAGUUCCCUGGUGGCACAGCCAGGUUAAGGAUCCAGUGUUGUCACUGUGGGUUCGAUCCUUGGGCUGGGAACUUCCAUAUACCACAGAAGAAACCAAAAAGAUUAAAAAUAAAUAAAUAAAAUUUUUUUAAAAAGAAAAAGAAAAAGGAAAAACCAAGUUAAUGCCCAAAACAAGAGAGACUGAAAAGUUUUGGAACCAGUUGCAGAUGUCAUCCUAUGACCCAUCAGGAAGGGGGGAGUGACAGAUUACAGCUGCUGCUUUACUCUUCCCUGAUGGCUGAAAAGCAGAAGUGAUGAUGCAAGCUGGAGCAGCCACCUUGGACCACCAGAAGGAAGCCGUGUAUUAAGGAUAUUCUGCCAAUGGGUGGGACAGGGUGGGCCAGGAUCCCUGAGGAUCGUGAAGCCACCGUGCCCACUCUGACUUACCUACCUGGGUUUUUAUAUAAGUGACAAGUAAACUUCUAUCUUCUUUUUUUUUUUUGUCUUUUGUCUUUUUAAG